CCCUUAGAUGUUCUGGGCCGCACGCGCGCUACACUGACGAAUGCAACGAGCUUAUAACCUUGGCCGAAAGGUCUGGGUAAUCUCCAAAUUUCGUCGUGAUGGGGAUAGAUUAUUGCAAUUAUUAAUCUUCAACGAGGAAUGCCUAGUAAGCGCAAGUCAUCAGCUUGCGUUGAUUACGUCCCUGCCCUUUGUACACACCGCCCGUCGCUCCUACCGAUUGAAUGAUUUAGUGAGGACUUCGGACUGGGACCGAUGCGGCUUUCGGGCUGCGUCGGUAUUCUGGAAAGAUGUCCAAACUGUAUCAUUUAGAGGAAGUAAAAGUCGUAACA
rnacentral:rRNA from 1 species